UCUGGGUGAAGAACCAGAAUCUGGGUGAAGAAUCAGGAUCUGAGUGAAGAAUGGGGUCAGGAGCUGCGAUCUGGGUGAAGAUCCAGGUGAGGAACUGGGAUCUGGGUGCAGGAUGGGGUCAGGAGCUGGGAUCUGGGUGAAGAUCCAGGUGAGGAACUGGGAUCUGGGUGCAGGAUGGGGUCAGGAGCUGGGAUCUGGGUGAAGAUCCAGGUGAGGAACUGGGAUCUGGGUGCAGGAUGGGGUCAGGAGCUGGGAUCUGGGUGAAGAUCCAGGUGAGGAACUGGGAUCUGAGUGCAGGAUGGGGUCAGGAGCUGGGAUCUGGGUGAAGAUCCAGGUGAGGAACUGGGAUAUGAGUGCAGGAUGGGGUCAGGAACCAAUGACUGGGUGAGG